UAUACCAUAUACAUUUAAUGGUUUGGACAUCUCAGUGCCCACAUGAAAACAAGGAAACAUAUAUUGCAAUAGGCAGUAUAAUUAUUUCAGCAAGGAACAUCCAUCCCACACUCCUAGAAAUAUGACAUUCAGCAUCACGAGAUCCUAGCAUUAUGUCAUCAGCUGCAUGAGUUUCACAGCUUAUCUUUCCGAUUUUAUGUUACAGGAGUAAACUCCAACAAAAAUGUAUAACACUGCCAAUUUAACAGCACAUUUAUGUUAAUACUAGCUGUAAUGACUUCAAGAAGGUGAAGAAGAUCAACGUUUCUGUACAUACAUGUUCACUUACACGCGUAUAUGCACACACACAUGCACAUAUAAAUGCAUGCAUGUAUGUGUGCACUAUGUAUAUAAACUGUCUUUAGAGAUGACAUUAUUUUAAACUUGAAAACAAUGUUCCAUAUAGUUGACCAAUUUAAAGAAGCCCCUGCUAGUACACGAAAGACGGAGCUAGCUGAUAUCAUUAAACAUCAUCAGAUGAGGCUGCAGGUAGCUGAAACAUUCCUUAAUGAAAAUUUUAAGAGAACAGAUUAAAAUUAUAUUCCUCCAAUCCAACAGAACACAAAGGUAAGGACAUUCAAUUACAACCGAGAUCUCAUUUAGCACUAAAGGAGUGUUGUUUGUUGAUUAGAAUUUAUUGCCUGAAGUGAACAGCUAGGCUUGUGACUAUGUUUAUAAUUACUUUCUACAAUGUACUCUUCUAACACUCAGAUUUAGUUAUGGAAGAUGACGUCUUCCAUAAUUUUUAGCCUGUGAUGUCCAUGACCAAGAGUUAGAAAAUCUCAACAACAGUAGCAAAGAUUUUUUUUAUCUGUGCUACUCUUAUCUCCUAAUAUUGUGAGAAAUAAAAUAUAUCUAUAGUGACAUGUAUUUGUUUUUUGAACUACUAGGUUAACUGUUUUAACAGGGUUUUGUUGGCCAAUAGAAUAAGUGGCACAAGAGAAGUGGUUUGAGCAGGAUACUAUCUGUGUGUCUGUCCAGACUGCUGGCAGCUUUCCCUAGGCGCAUCAGGAGGGUGCUCAGCUCUGUACCGGAUCUGUCCUUAGUUCAGAGAAAUGCAUCACAUCUUUAAAAUCUCAGAACUAAAAAAGAUACUGACAGGCAGGAGUGUGACAAGAGGAAAGGAGGAAUAACCAGGAGACUGAAAGGACUGAUUUGUUAGGGAAGAUUAAAUGAUCUAAAUAGCUGUGGGUUGGCUUUAUGCUAACUAAACACAGUAGUUAAAAGAUACUGGAAGAAAAUUGCAUUAGUGAAGGAAAAUAAGGAGUUUGCAAAAGGAUGUAACUAGGAGAAAUAUGGUGAUGUUAAGAAAGGGAAAAAAAAACUUCUGACAACAAGAUACUCUAGGCAGCACAAUCUCUCCCUAGGGACAUGACAUCACUUAGGACAUUUAAUCUAGGCACACAAAACACCUGAAAAUAUGCCAUAGAAAACAAUCUCACAGUGUCACGGAGCUGUACUGGAUGACCUAAAAGGUACGUUGCUAAUUUGUCUGCACCUGUUAUCUGUGAUUUUCCUUGCUUGUAUGGUGAACUCUUUACUUGUGUGUAUUUGCUUUCUCUGGGCCCAAUCCAACUCAUGCUGUAGCGAGCAGAAUUUUCCGACAGGAGCAAUAGGACCUCAGUGUCUUUUCCAUGUCUUUGCUCUACAACUUCAGAUAUCUUACAGGCCCCACAAGAAAUCAGGAGGGAUGUCUUCUAGGGAAUAGCUGUGCUGGAGUCAUUUCAGUUGUGGGAAGUUGUUUCAGGCUUAGACUGUGGAGGAUGCUCACGUGCGGUAGAUGCCAUUCAAGGGGAUGCUGAGGAAUUAUUUGGAGAGAUAGAAAUCCACAAAACAAGGCUGGAGAACAGAGCAGGCCUGAAAGAAAAGUCAAGCGCUCCUUUUUCUGCCUAUCUCGUCCUCAAUGGUAAAAUAGGCUAAACAAAACAAGUGCACAUCAAGACAGAGCCAAUUAAGGACAGGAAAGC
rnacentral:lncRNA from 1 species